rnacentral:rRNA from 1 species
ACCAUGGUGGUAACGGGUGACGGAGGAUUAGGGUUCGAUUCCGGAGAGGGAGCCUGAGAAACGGCUACCACAUCCAAGGAAGGCAGCAGGCGCGCAAAUUACCCAAUCCCGACACGGGGAGGUAGUGACAAUAAAUAACAAUACGGGGUUCUUUCGGAUCUCGUAAUUGGAAUGAGUACAAUUUAAAUCUCUUAACGAGGAACAAUUGGAGGGCAAGUCUGGUGCCAGCAGCCGCGGUAAUUCCAGCUCCAAUAGCGUAUAUUAAAGUUGUUGCAGUUAAAAAGCUCGUAGUUGAAUUUCGGGGUUAGUAGGUUGGUCAUGCCUCUGGUAUGUACUGGUCUCACUGAUUCCUCCUUCCUUAUGAACCGUAAUGCCAUUAAUUUGGUGUUGCGGGGAAUUUGGACUGUUACUUUGAAAAAAUUAGAGUGUUUAAAGCAAGCUAACGCUUGAAUACAUUAGCAUGGAAUAAUGAAAUAGGACGUUCGAUCUUAUUUUGUUGGUUUCUAGGAUUGACGUAAUGAUUAAUAGGGAUAGUUGGGGGCAUUAGUAUUCAAUUGUCAGAGGUGAAAUUCUUGGAUUUAUUGAAGACUAACUACUGCGAAAGCAUUUGCCAAGGAUGUUUUCAUUAAUCAAGAACGAAAGUUAGGGGAUCGAAGACGAUCAGAUACCGUCGUAGUCUUAACCAUAAACUAUGCCGACUAGGGAUCGGAUGA